rnacentral:rRNA from 1 species
AGUGAACGCUGGCGGUAGGCCUAACACAUGCAAGUCGAACGGCAGCACAGUAAGAGCUUGCUCUUACGGGUGGCGAGUGGCGGACGGUGAGGAAUACAUCGGAAUCUACUUUUUCGUGGGGGAUAACGUAGGGAAACUUACGCUAAUACCGCAUACGACCUACGGGUGAAAGCAGGGGAUCUUCGGACCUUGCGCGAUUGAAUGAGCCGAUGUCGGAUUAGCUAGUUGGCGGGGUAAAGGCCCACCAAGGCGACGAUCCGUAGCUGGUCUGAGAGGAUGAUCAGCCACACUGGAACUGAGACACGGUCCAGACUCCUACGGGAGGCAGCAGUGGGGAAUAUUGGACAAUGGGCGCAAGCCUGAUCCAGCCAUACCGCGUGGGUGAAGAAGGCCUUCGGGUUGUAAAGCCCUUUUGUUGGGAAAGAAAAGCAGCAGGUUAAUACCCCGCUGUUCCGACGGUACCCAAAGAAUAAGCACCGGCUAACUUCGUG